GAAGCGGGCCAGACCGCCGCUGGUGCAAGUCUCGAAAGAGCGCACUGGAGGAACGUCCGGACUGCACAGGACGGCGCAGGAGCUAACGGCUCUCCACCGUGAGGUGAGGAUCAGAGCAACAGAGACGAGUCGGCCGGGGGGCAACUUCCGGUCGGGUGAAACGGGCAAUCUCUGCGCGCAGCAACACCAAGUAGGCCGACACACGGGUCGCGGUUCGCCGCGAUGUCCGAAUCCCGUGGUUCCGCGGAUGGUCGGCGGGUAGGUGGCACCGAGCCGUUCGGCGACGAACGGCCCAGAUUAAUGGCGGUCACGGCGGGGGCGACCCCGCCGCACAGAAUCCGGCUUAUCGGCCCGCUUCACAC
rnacentral:RNase_P_RNA from 1 species